AACGAACGCUGGCGGCAUGCCUAACACAUGCAAGUCGAACGAGACCUUCGGGUCUAGUGGCGCACGGGUGCGUAACGCGUGGGAACGUGCCCUUAUGUUCGGAAUAGCUCCCCGAAAGUGGUGCUAAUACCGUAUAAUGUCUUCGGAGCAAAGAUUUAUCGCAUUAGGAUGGGCCCGCGUUGGAUUAGCUAGUUGGUAGGGUAAUAGCCUACCAAGGCGACGAUCCAUAGCUGGUCUGAGAGGAUGAUCAGCCACACUGGGACUGAGACACGGCCCAGACUCCUACGGGAGGCAGCAGUGGGGAAUAUUAGACAAUGGGGGAAAGCCUGAUCCAGCAAUGCCGCGUGAGUGAUGAAGGCCUUAGGGUUGUAAAGCUCUUUUAGCCGGGAUGAUAAUGACGGUACCGGGAGAAUAAGCCCCGGCUAACUCCGUG
rnacentral:rRNA from 1 species